GACGAACGCUGGCGGCGUGCUUAACACAUGCAAGUCGAACGGUAAGGCCCUUCGGGGUACACGAGUGGCGAACGGGUGAGUAACACGUGGGUGAUCUGCCCUGCACUUCGGGAUAAGCCUGGGAAACUGGGUCUAAUACCGGAUAGGACCACUGCCUGCAUGGGUGGUGGUGGAAAGCUUUUGCGGUGUGGGAUGGGCCCGCGGCCUAUCAGCUUGGUGGUGGGGUGAUGGCCUACCAAGGCGACGACGGGUAGCCGGCCUGAGAGGGUAACCGGUCACACUGGGACUGAGAUACGGCCAAGACUCCUACGGGAGGCAGCAGUGGGGAAUAUUGCACAAUGGGCGCAAGCCUGAUGCAGCGACGCCGCGUGAGGGAUGACGGCCUUCGGGUUGUAAACCUCUUUCAGCACCGACGAAGCGCAAGUGACGGUAGGUGCAGAAGAAGGACCGGCCAACUACGUGCCAGCCGCCGCCGUAA
rnacentral:rRNA from 1 species